CGUAGGUGGCAAGCGUUGUCCGGAUUUAUUGGGUUUAAAGGGUGCGUAGGCGGCCCUGUAAGUCAGUGCUGAAAUAUCCCGGCUUAACCGGGAGGGUGGCAUUGAUACUGCAGGGCUUGAGUAAAGUUGAGGUUGGCGGAAUUGACGGUGUAGCGGUGAAAUGCUUAGAUAUCGUCAAGAACACCGAUAGUGAAGACAGCUAACUAAGCUUUAACCGACGCUGAGGCACGAAAGUGUGGGGAUCAAACAGGAUUAGAUACCCUGGUAGUCCACACUGUAAACGUUGAUUACUCGAUGUUGGCGAUACACAGUCAGCGUCUUAGCGCAAGCGAUAAGUAAUCCACCUGGGGAGUACGCCGGCAACGGUG
rnacentral:rRNA from 1 species